UUAAAAUGGCUGCUGCCUUGAUCAACUGUCAUCCUGAGAAAGUUACACAGUUCUCCCAUGUUUUCUGCAGCAGAAUGCGAGACCUUCCAAAUAACAGAAGAAUGUUUAUUGCAUCCCUUCUUACUUAACAUCAGGAUUGUUAUGGGAAGAAAAACAAGUCCAUCACAGGCACAUUCCUCUUCAGUAUCUCAUGGUGAAGAGCCACAGAAAGAUUGUUAGGGGCCUUCUGACACAAAGGUUGAAACAGCUGUUUUAUUGGAAUACUGCAGAGAAGCAAAAUUUAGGAUAUCUGGAAAUUUACUGAGAAUGAGCUACUUCACCAAACACAACGCUCAGCAGGUUUCCAUUGAAAACAAUGUCCUAACAGAAGAUGAAAGAAUAUGGAUAGCAGAAGAAUCUCACCUCUUUCCAGGAAUCAUAGAGAUUUAUAGUGCACAAAGUGUCCACCAUCACAAGUUUUUAGCAUCAGAAAAGCAGAAAGCUUCUGACUGAGCAGGAAACUGAAGGAGGGACCUUUCCUUAAUUAACCCCCUACGGAGAAGAGAGGACCACAUGAUCAAAAACUACCUUUUCCCCAUCUUCACAAUAUAAGGCAAGUCAUCUGUAGCAUUCAAAGAAAAACAAAUUAAUUAUGAUGUACUAAACCAGAUAAUAAAAAGCAGGAACUGAAUAUUCCCUAUCAUCAAUCUUAAAUCUUCUUAAAAUUGAGACACAUUAAUGAGCAGAUUGUUAUUUUGGCAAAAUUAUUCUAAAUUAUCAUCCCAUGUUUAUAAUGGGAUUUAUUAUUUUGGGUACACUUUAACUACAUAUACUGUCUUAAGGCUUGCAGUUUCAAGGUUUGAAUAGGCAAUACAUGUCUGUGCUAGAAAGAUAAGAACUUCCCUCUUCUGCUUAAGUACUCAUUCCCAUUGUAGUGUAACUCCCAACAAGGAGAGGAAUACCUAAUGGUAAAAAUAGCUGUGAUUGUUUACUACAUUAUGGUUUUCACUCCUGCUGUCUCAUCAGUGAUACACUCAUGAUCUGCAUGUUCAUUUUUUAUGGACAGAAAUGAAACCCUAACUGACAAGG